UACGGGGGGAGCAAGCGUUGUUCGGAUUUACUGGGCGUAAAGGGCGCGUAGGCGGCGUAACAAGUCACUUGUGAAAUCUCCGGGCUUAACCCGGAGCGGCCAAGUGAUACUGUUGUGCUAGAGUGCGGAAGGGGCUACUGGAAUUCUCGGUGUAGCGGUGAAAUGCGUAGAUAUCUGGAGGAACACCGGUGGCGAAGGCGGCAUUCUGGACCGACAUUGACGCUGAGGAGCGAAAGCAAGGGGAGCGAACGGG
rnacentral:rRNA from 1 species